rnacentral:piRNA from 1 species
UGGUACGAGAUGGCCCCUUGCUCU